CCUCUUCAGUCGCGUCCGGCGGGGCUACGCGCAACGCACUCACCUGUCACGUGACAAAGCCCAGCCAAUAGGGCUGGGCCUGAAGAGGAACCACAGACCUCACGCAGGAACAGAGACAAGACCCAGCAUUUGAAGGAUAAAGACCUACAGAAACCCAACAUUUGGAAGACAAAGACCCUACAGAAACCAGCAACCCCACCAUUGUGUCCUUCCAGACAAUAAGGACACCUGGAUCUGCACAUAUGCAUCUAAGCAGUACUGUCCUUGCCUAGACAUGUCCUUCCCAUAGGAGACACAGGUAGCCCACCCCUAUAAAGAGGGUGGUAGAGUGUAAUCUCCUCUCCAUCUGGACCAGCAGUCUGCCAUGCCACCAAUACAUCCAGAGUCCCUGCUGGUGACCCCUCCCCUCCCAACAGACAACACCUUGCAAGACAAGACCCCAACUGGCCAUUGUGGAUCAACUCUCAGUCUGGGAUAGGUAGCUAUCACCCACCUUCUUCCCCAGCCCCAAGCAAGGGACCUGAACUCUGUCCGGGUGGGGGGUCUGGGUGCAAACCAAUAACUUCGUGGGGCUCUGUAGUGUGUUGCCCGUUUAAUAAAACUGUUAUUUUAGAA